rnacentral:rRNA from 1 species
CCUACGGGUGGCAGCAGUGGGGAAUAUUGGGCAAUGGGCGCAAGCCUGACCCAGCAACGCCGCGUGAAGGAAGAAGGCUUUCGGGUUGUAAACUUCUUUUCUGAGGGACGAAGAAGGUGACGGUACCUCAGGAAUAAGCCACGGCUAACUACGUGCCAGCAGCCGCGGGAAUACGGAGGCGGCAAGCGUUAGCCGGAUUGAUUGGGUGUAAAGGGGGAGUAGGCGGGAAAGCAAGUCAGAUGGGAAAUCUAAGGGCUCAACCCUGAGCCUGCAUUUGAAACUGUUUGUCUUGAGUGCGGGGGAGGCAAUCGGAAUUCGGGGUGUAGCGGUGAAAUGCGUAGAUAUACGGAGGAACA